CAGACGGCUCAGUAACACGUGGUCAAGCUAACCUAUGGACGUGGAUAACCUCGGGAAACUGAGAAUAAACCGCGAUAGAUCAUGGUGCCUGGAAUGGCCCAUGGUCGAAAUAGUUUACUGCCGUAGGAUGCGACUGCGGCCUAUCAGUUUGUUGGUGAGGUAAUGGCCCACCAAGACUAUUACAGGUACGGGCUCUGAGAGGAGAAGCCCGGAGAUGGGUACUGAGACACGGACCCAGGCCCUAUGGGGCGCAGCAGGCGAGAAACCUUAGCAAUGUGCGAAAGCACGACUGGGUUAGUCCGAGUGAUUCCUGCUAAAGGAAUCUUUUGCCGGUCCUAAAAGCACCGGUGAAUAAGGGGUGGGCAAGUCUGGUGUCAGCCGCCGCGGUAAUACCAGCACCUCGAGUGAUCAGGACGUUUAUUGGGCCUAAAGCAUCCGUAGCUGGCUCUGCAAGUCUCCGGUUAAAUCAACCUGCUUAACAGAUUGGCCGCUGGAGAUACUACAAAGCUAGGGAGUGGGAGAGGCAGACGGUAUUCGGGGGGUAGGGGGUAAAAUCCUCUGAUCCUCUGAGGACCACCAGUGGCGAAGGCGGUCUGCCAGAACACGUUCGACAGUGAGGGAUGAAAGCUGGGGGAGCAAACC
rnacentral:rRNA from 1 species